CAAAUUCUUCAGUCAGGCACUUCUACAGAAUACAAAUUGACACACUGCAACGCCUCCAGACAGCAGGUUCAUCAUUUGAAGGGAGCAGACUUCUCCUGGCUGCACUUCAAUUGUGGAGAGGUGGGAGCCACCUCAGAGCAGCUUCCACCUUGAGUGAGGAAGUGGAACAGAUUGCUAUCACUUUUUUCAUUUUGCAAAUAAGUUUUUGACAUGUGCAGGACAGGUGCAGACUGCAGCGGACUGUACGGGCAGCAGAAAGGAUCAUCGGCGCCCCCCUGCCCUCCAUCCAGGAUCUGUACCUCUCAAGAACCAGGAAACGGGCAGGGAAAAUCAUCACAGACCCCUCACACCCUGGACACAGACUUUUUGAUCUGCUGCCCUCUGGCAGACGGUACAGAAGCCUGCAGACCAGGACCACCCGACACAGGAACAGUUUCUUUCCCCUCGCCAUCUCCCUUCUAAACAGUUGACCUGUCACACUGCUCCCACUGCCAGACUGCAACUGUACCUUAUAUACAUUCUGUAGUAUUCAUUCCACCUCAUUUCAUUUCUGUAUUUUAUGUAUAUACGUUUAGAUUAGUUAUUUAUAGUUGGUUUACACAGCUAUGUGUAUGCAUGUGUAACGUAUAUAUAGAUACGUGUGUGUGUGUGGGUGCGUGUGUGUGUGUGUGUGUGUGUGUGUGUGUGUGUG
ensembl:lncRNA